rnacentral:rRNA from 1 species
CCUACGGGAGGCAGCAGUGAGGAAUAUUGGUCAAUGGGCGCGAGCCUGAACCAGCAAAGCAGCGUGAAGGAUGAAUGCCCUACGGGUUGUAAACUUCUUUUAUAAAGGAAUAAAGUGAGGCAAGUGUGCCUUUUUGUAUGUACUUUAUGAAUAAGGAUCGGCUAACCCCGUGCCAGCAGCCGCGGCAAUACGGGGGGUGCAAGCGUUGUCCGGAAUCAUUGGGCGUAAAGAGUUCGUAGGUGGCACGUUAAGUCUGGUGUUAAAGGCGGAAGCUCAACUUCCGUAGGGCACUGGAUACUGGCGAGCUUGAGUGCGGUAGAGGUAAAGGGAAUUCCUGGUGUAGCGGUGAAAUGCGUAGAUAUCAGGAGGAACAUCGGUGGCGUAAGCGGUUUACUGGUCCGUAAUUGACGCUGAGGAACGAAAGCCGGGGUAGCAAAUGGGAUUAGAUACCCCAGUAGUC